GCCUUUGUGGACCUUCCAGCCCAGCCACCAGCAAACACAACCCAAGCUGCCAGGGAAACAUCGCCUGGAAAAUGUACACCCCUCUGCCCCACCCGCUCCUCGGCAAACGGCAGCCACGUGGCACCCAGCAGCAGCGGGGAGGGCCCGGUGGGUCCCAAGCUUCCAGCAGCAUGGGGAGGAAGGGAUGACCAGCUGUGGACAGGGCUGCAGAUGGGCAGAGCUUCCUGUUCCUGGGGGGACUCGACUCACUCAGCCCAGGAGCUCUGAGACCCCAUCCCUCCCCAGGAAACCCAGGCCCUGAGGCCAGGUCUACCUGGCUUACCUUGCAACCAAAGGCGAGAUCUUUCUCCGGAACCGGGUCAUUUGUUGGUGAGGAAGAUGGACUUCUGGGAGGCCUGCGCUCACAAGGCUCUACAUCCCGAAGUGAUCUCACCAAGGGGCACAACAGCCUGGAGAGGGAAGUGCCAUUGCUCCCAUUUUGCAGAUGGGCAAGAUGAGGCCCAGAGCCACCAAGCCCCUCUCGAGUUGCAGCUUCUGGGGGCAGAGCAGGAUGUACAUCUGGUCCCGCCUAACUAUACCCAGAGAAACCUGCCGUGGGCCCUUCUCCAUCACACAUGGUCAUCCCACACUAUCACAAAGGUCAGGGGAACCGCUAUGUCUGCAUAAAAACAAGUGUCAUCAGUUGGAUUUGUUCAAGGUGAGGCUUACCUGCUCCCUAAUAUAUCGAAAGCUCCUGUUGAAGGAGAGUCAGGGACAUGCCAGGAGGCCUGCCAUGCUGUGACCAGUUGUCAUCUCACCGAAUCCUCACCAGUACCACGUGGCUCAGCAAGGUUAGGUAACAUACUCAAAGUCACACCGCCUGCCCCCAAAUUAGUCAUGGCAAUCUCCUGUCUUCAAGGUCCAAGUUUUGCUGUUUCCUCAGGGUCAAAACCAAGGUCUUCUCCUGUCCUGGAAGAACAUCAAGCCA
ensembl:lncRNA novel transcript